rnacentral:misc_RNA from 1 species
AAAAAAUAGAAUCGAAAUCUCGGUUCUUUAUUUUUAAAGAAAUAAAAUUGGAAAUAAAUUUUGAGUUUUAUUGUAAAUAAUUUUUGUAGGAUUUUGAUUCUAAUUUCGAUUUUAUUUUUAGUGUUAAUUUUAAUUUAAAUUUUAGCUUGAAUCUCUAUUUCUCUCCUUAAAAUUAUAAUCUUUUUGUUUUUCAUCUUAAAAAAUAAGAUAAAUCUGAAUUUUUAAUAUCAAAAUAAUAAUAUUAAAGGGGGGAAAUUACAAUCUAGUAUGUUGUUUGGUGCAUUUGUACGGUACGAGGAACUUGUUGUGACAAAAACGUACCUUUGUGUCAUUAAUACUGGUAGGGUAAUCCUUAUGUUUUAGUAAAAUUACAUAUUACAUAUUGGUCUUUCUAUAUUUUUUUACUUCAAAUUACAUAAAUUUUCUUAUUAAAUUCUUUUACUUCAAAUACAUAAUAUACCUAUAAAAUAAAAUGAUCAUAUUAUGAUUAAAAUAAUGAAUAUUAUAAAAUGUAGGACUAUUUUAUAAUAA